GUAUCAGGAUGACGCGAUCUCCCAGAAAAGGAACACGCGAGAACCACGUAUUGUAUGUUCCUGGAAAUGUAGGAAGACCGAAUACAGAGAGAGAAGGUUAUGAAAGAUAGAAGUAGUAUUUCAGCACUGUAAAACACCGGCGAAUUGUGCGAGUGACAGUGUCCACAACUUUCCCGCGGAAAAUGGUUUGAUGACCAAAAAAAGUCGUGCCCGAUUAUGGUCGUCAACCGGUAAGGCAACGAAUUGCGAUUCGUUAAUUUGCAUUAGUAGAAAGACCAUCGAAAAGAAACAAUGGGAACUCGUUUAUUCUGCGGCAUCUUUUUGAUGAACUUUUUCGUUCUGCUUCUUUUUACGGAGGGAAGAAGCGCGCCGGCGCCCAAGUUCAUCACGGAUGCAAUGAAGAGUGAUAAGAAUCUGUGCGAUACAAUCGAAUUUUUAUACAAUUCGAGCUAUGUAAAACCGUGCACGUCAUUGCUAUAUCCCACCGCUCCUUGGGAUUUGAACGAGACGAACGUGAAUGUCCCUUUAUGCUUAGGAGUAUACGAUGCGGCGUUCAAGAUUUGUCGAUCUUUUAAUCGGUUGCAAAUCAAUGGUACAACGUUUAAAUUAGAUGUGGAAAAAUUUGUUCCCGACAAGAAUCAAAGCGUCGAGUUCUGUUACAAUUUAAAAGGAUUUACAUCAACGUACACGAAGAUAGAUUCACUUUGGAAACCGCUGAUCAAUCUCCUCAAUUCAUCUAAGAAGUGUGAGAAGAUCUGCUUCAAUCUCAGAGAUGAAAUCAAUCCGCUGUGCGUACUACUUGCUUGGAGUAAACAUAUUACUGAUAUCGUUAACACAAUGGAUCUCAAAUAUGAUCAUCUGAUGUCUCAUAAACUAACGAGUCAGGCAAACAAUGAAACAACAAAUAUUAUAAACACUGAACCCAAAACCUCAGAAUCGAAAGAAACCAAAGAGUCAAGCACAAAACGAACUUCUAACGAUAAUGGUAAUGCUGAGAGUAAAUUAAAAAAUGGCAACGUAUUAAAUACGGCUGUAAAAUCACCUGAUGCACAGCCGAACUCUUAUGUCGGAACAUCAAGUGACAAAGAUGACAUUCAAAAGAAAAAUAACACAUUCACACCAGUAACACAGGCUCCGAAAGCACCACCUUCAGUGGUGUCUGAAAAAGAUGUGGACAAAAAGAUAGAAUCUAUUGCUGAAGAUACAAAGCCUGUAAACAAUCCGCAAACUUCAUCCGUAAAGAAUCCAGCAAAUGAAAAUGAAAAAAAGUAUGUGGAUGAAGACAAGAUGGAGGAGCCUAAUAAAGAUAAAGAUAUCGAAGAUGUAAAAUCUACCACACUGUCGGAAAAUACACAAGAACACUAUGAUGUAAAUCCGGAAGAUGAUAUUAAUUCUGCAGUGGAUGACAAUGAUGGUGUAGAAGAUAGCAAUUUACAGCCAAUAGACGCAGGAAAUCAAAAUGAGAACGCGCAAGAACCGUAUGAGCAGAAACACAGUACACAACAAUUUCCCGGACUAAGAUCGGACGAUUCUCAUUUCUUCACUUACUUCACCGUGGUAACUUUGGCGUGUAUUGUCGGAUACAUAGGUUAUCAUAACAAGCAGAAAAUAUUUGCUAUUGUACUCGAAGGACGAAGAUCGCGAAAUAGUCGGGGCAGACGACGACCGAGUACAGCUAAUUAUCGGAAACUGGAUUGCACACUCGAAGAAGCUGUUACGUCGCAAUGUAACUCCAAUGUUACUCAUGUCAUAUAUUAAAUGCAGAUAGAAAGAAAUUUUAUAAUCUUUGUAUUAUAGUAUAUAUACAUAUAUUGCAAAUCAUUCAGUCAAUCCGUCAAUACGUAACGAAGAUUUCACGAGUACCAUAUGGUGAUACACCAGUUCCGAUAUUACGUGUGAUAGUAGAAAACACAAGUAUAUUUCCAGUUCGAAUUAUAUCAAAUUAUUUUAUAAUUUACAACUGAAGUUAUAAUGAUACUAGGUUAAACAGUUUGCAGAAAUCCAUCAAACUCUUUAACACGAUGCUUGAUAUAAUUUUCUAUUUUGUUGUUUUAAAUAUUAAUAUUAGUUUUGUAUUAAAAUCAAAGUUUAUAUAUAAUGUUAUGUGACACACUAUAUGUAUCUAAAAAUAUUCAUCUGUAGCAGUUUUUAAGUUUCUUAACUGAUCUCUCUGAAAAUUCGUAAGACCUCGCAGUGAACUUCUCUAGUCGAAUUGUUUGAGAGACGCAUUAAAGUACUUUAUAUGAAGAAAUAAUUUUAUCUACAUUGUGUUCUUUAAAAUCUGUCUUGAUGUUUCAGCACCGUUUGAAAAUUUUGCAAAACUUUUUUACACUUUAUUUUUUCAUUUAUAUAAAAAACAGUGUUCAAUAUAUUAAUUAAGAAGAGAGUAAUAUCUUUCAAUUGGUGAGUGUGUCGCUGUGUAGAAAAAAGUGCUUGUAAUUAUAUUUAAAGUUAUAUACAUAUAUAUUACAUAGAUAUAAAACUUAUAUUAAUAGUAGUUGAUAAAU